UACGAAGGGGGCUAGCGUUGCUCGGAAUCACUGGGCGUAAAGGGUGCGUAGGCGGGUCUUUAAGUCAGGGGUGAAAUCCUGGAGAUCAACUCCAGAACUGCCUUUGAUACUGAGGAUCUUGAGUACGGGAGAGGUGAGUGGAACUGCGAGUGUAGAGGUGAAAUUCGUAGAUAUUCGCAAGAACACCAGUGGCGAAGGCGGCUCACUGGCCCGUAACUGACGCUGAGGCACGAAAGCGUGGGGAGCAAACAGG
rnacentral:rRNA from 1 species